GCACGUGUGCGCGUGUCGUGUGGCUGGACGCCCUUCCCUUAAUGGUGGCCUGUAAAGCAUUAUGUUCUUUGAAGUCUCACUUCUACUUUCGACGGCUCUCGGCUUCGAAUGGUAUCUACGAGGCGCGUUGAAUGAGACGUCCGAAGAACGAGGACAUGAAACCGACUCCAUUGUCGUCCACUUCCCGUCGUUGAGUACAGAAAUGUCAUACUGUACGCUAAAGAAAAUGGAAGAUUGGAUGCUGCUUCUGUUUACUAUGUUUUUGCUGGAGUAUAUUCUUGACAACAAGUUGGUCAACAACUUGCUUGCACGCCAAGAAGUUGUACCGAUGAGGUUGCGUGCCAAUUUCAAGAACCAGUGUGAGGAACUAAAGAGGAGAGCAUUCUACACACACUUAAUUUUGACAUUACUUCCCGCUGCGGAUACAGAUAGGUAUCUGGCUGUACACGGUGGUAUCGUCGCAGCACACAUGCUCUUCUCUCAAGACUUCAACGACACAACUAUGCAACUGCUGCAGACUGUUUUCACUCACGAAUCAUCGGUGAUUCAAACUAUGCAAACAAUUUAUUUGACAUCACGCACACUACAGUUAAUCGUCGGAAUCUGCGGCUUGGUCAAAGAGGGAUUGGCUUGCUGCGGAAGCGGCCAACUUUGGUCUGUUGCCAUAACAGUAUUGAGUGACGUGUUUGCCCUCGGAGAGUUGGCGCUGGCGGCAAUAACACCAUUGUCUGAUAUUACUCUUCUUUAUUUUACCAAUUGAAUUAGGUCGUCCACUGCCCGUCGUUGAGUACAGAAAUGUCAUACUGUACGCUAAAGAAAAUGGAAGAUUGGAUGCUGCUUCUGUUUACUAUGUUUUUGCUGGAGUAUAUUCUUGACAACAAGUUGGUCAACAACUUGCUUGCACGCCAAGAAGUUGUACCGAUGAGGUUGCGUGCCAAUUUCAAGAACCAGUGUGAGGAACUAAAGAGGAGAGCAUUCUACACACACUUAAUUUUGACAUUACUUCCCGCUGCGGAUACAGAUAGGUAUCUGGCUGUACACGGUGGUAUCGUCGCAGCACACAUGCUCUUCUCUCAAGACUUCAACGACACAACUAUGCAACUGCUGCAGACUGUUUUCACUCACGAAUCAUCGGUGAUUCAAACUAUGCAAACAAUUUAUUUGACAUCACGCACACUACAGUUAAUCGUCGGAAUCUGCGGCUUGGUCAAAGAGGGAUUGGCUUGCUGCGGAAGCGGCCAACUUUGGUCUGUUGCCAUAACAGUAUUGAGUGACGUGUUUGCCCUCGGAGAGUUGGCGCUGGCGGCAAUAACACCAUUGUCUGAUAUUACUCUUCUUUAUUUUACCAAUUGAAUUAGGUCGUCCACUGCCCGUCGUUGAGUACAGAAAUGUCAUACUGUACGCUAAAGAAAAUGGAAGAUUGGAUGCUGCUUCUGUUUACUAUGUUUUUGCUGGAGUAUAUUCUUGACAACAAGUUGGUCAACAACUUGCUUGCACGCCAAGAAGUUGUACCGAUGAGGUUGCGUGCCAAUUUCAAGAACCAGUGUGAGGAACUAAAGAGGAGAGCAUUCUACACACACUUAAUUUUGACAUUACUUCCCGCUGCGGAUACAGAUAGGUAUCUGGCUGUACACGGUGGUAUCGUCGCAGCACACAUGCUCUUCUCUCAAGACUUCAACGACACAACUAUGCAACUGCUGCAGACUGUUUUCACUCACGAAUCAUCGGUGAUUCAAACUAUGCAAACAAUUUAUUUGACAUCACGCACACUACAGUUAAUCGUCGGAAUCUGCGGCUUGGUCAAAGAGGGAUUGGCUUGCUGCGGAAGCGGCCAACUUUGGUCUGUUGCCAUAACAGUAUUGAGUGACGUGUUUGCCCUCGGAGAGUUGGCGCUGGCGGCAAUAACACUAUUGUCUGAUAUUACUCUUCUUUAUUUUACCAAUUGAAUUAGAGCAUUCACAAUGACCUGGCAGAGAUUCCGUCUCACCUUCUCCUGCAGUUCUUCCUCAAAAGAUGAAGCAGAGUGCCACAUAUGCUGCAAGUGAUUUCUUUUCUUGUGACGUUUGCUAAAAAGAAGAAACCAAAACGUUCUCAGGAGCAGCUCUAUUUGUACUACAUGCGUUACACGUUGCAGUGAGCCUGAGUUAUUGAGGUGCAAGUCCCCUAGUGGAAGGUGUGACACUGGGCGUGAUGGCAGGGCACAGGCCGCGGGUUCAAGCCCCAUACCUGUCGAGCGACAAGCAGCAGCUCAGCUUUCACGAGGGGGACAUGAUCAUGCUCAUUGGCGAUCACAACAAAGGAUGGCAGUACGAUGUCAACCUCAGAAGCAACAGCUACCACUUGGGUCAACACCGGUGGAGAACAUUGAGUUGAUAUGUAAUCGUAUCGAUGGCUGUGACGUGUAUCAUCAGCACAAAUAUGUGGUGUCCAUAACAUGUUGAUCAUGGUGCGUUUCCAGAUCCUGGAAUUGCUUCUGGCACUUGCAGUAUGCAAAGGAAUUGCGUUCGAGACUAGCUUCCGCUCUGUGAUGUGCAAAUGAAAAAAAAAAAAUAAUAAUGGUGGCAGUUCCUUUGCGCAUAAGUUCAUGGAAGUGCGGAGUGUAAUUGCUCUGUAACCGGUUUCAAGCAUGGAGUAGUCCCAAAUAUACAUUUGAGACUUAGAACUAAGCAACUGUUACAAAUACAGGUGAACCUGAAAGCGUAAUGACGCAUUGUACUGUGGAACCCCGGUUAUGUCUCCCGGUUUUGCAAUGACCCCAAUUUUAUGACAGAUUAGUGCAGUUCCAGUGAAGUCCCCAUAUAAGCAGUGCAUUAAAAACCUGUUAUCUGACACACUUUUACGCCUGACCUGCGUUAUACAACGACCCAGGUGGAGCGCGGGACCGAACAGCAAACGAAGGAAGGGGAGGAAAGUGCCGUGAACUUCUCCUCGCACCGUCGAUUUCUUCCCUGUUCCUUGUCUCAUGGUUCGUUUUUCUUUCUCCCCCCAUCCCCCAGCAGCUGCUAGCGCUGCCUGCUGUGCCGAAAUAGCGCCCUUCUCCACAAUCACUUUCUCCGUCUUACUGGUGUUGCCUCUUGUCAUGCUGGAAAAGCGUUCCAAGCAUUCCAAGUUAUCUCUCUCACAGCAGCAGCAGAUCACCAACCAGGUUACAGCGAGAGGCUUAGGUGUUCGCAUGCAUUCGUCGCGAAGUUGUGGGUUGUGCCGCGCACUGACUGUGCGUGGUGUCCCAAAAGUGAACAGUUCUGUUGUUUGGCGAUAAGCGGAACAUCAUCGAGGAGGCAGAAAAGCGACAUGGAACCAUGAAAGCUAGUAUUGCCCAGGAUCUGAAGAUACCUGAAUCUUAGCUUAAGAUGAUCUUGGAGAAUGCAAACAAGUUCGAGCUCAAACAGAAGGCGGCAAAAGAAGGUCAACACAAGAAGUUGGAAAAGGUUUAGUUAAGUGACUGCAUCAAGCAUGGAGCUCUGUGAUCAUCGUUGGUGGUGCAAUUCUCAAAGAAAAAGCUAACCUUGUUAUCUUUUUCAGGCAUCGAACGGGUGGCUGAACCAUCUUAAAAAACGAAACAGGAUUGUGUCUAGCCACUUCUGCAGAGAAAGCACCUCCGUGGACAUUUCGACAGUGAACCAGUGAGUGUAGUUUCUGCUGGAGAUGAUUGCGGCAUACAAGCCCUGCGACUUAGCGCCGACAUGAGCGGCAUUUUUUACCACAUGCAGCCCGGGCAAACCCUUGUGUUUUAGGGUCACAGCUGUCGUGGUGGCAAGCGGAGUAAGGAGCAUUUGAUGGUGCUAUUCUGUGCUAACGAGAAUGGUUCUGAGAAGCCGCCUGUGCUCAUAAAUAGGAAAUUUGCUAAGCCACGGUGCUUAAAAACUUGAAGAUUCUGCGAUGCAGCUGCAACUUUAAUGAAAAGGUCCUCACUCUUCACCGACGUUCUCACUCUUCACCAAUUUUUUGCAGCAGCUCAACAGCAAAAUGGGUGCUAAGCCAAGGAAGAUACUACUUUUCGUGGUCAAUGCACCAUGCCACCCACCAGAUACAUCCAGCCUGAGGAAUAUAAAGGUAGUGUUCUUUCUCCCCACUGUACAAGUGGGCUGCAGCCGCUGGAUGCCAGCAUCAUAGAGUGCGUGAAGCAAGGCUAUUAGAAGCAGUUAGUGUAGCGUUGGCUGGCAGCUAUGGAGUGCAACAAGUCGGAAAAGGUUUCUCUGCUUGACGCCAUGCAUAUCAUUGCAAGUUUGUGGAACGCAGUAACACAGAGCACAAUCACCAAUUGUUCAAACAUUGUGGCAUCAAGUGAGAGGCUGCCUCCUAUGCUGCCGGCAUGACAACCUCUAUCAACUGCACUCUCGAGGCCGAUGUAAGCUUCACCGACGGCAAUUUCAAGGAUCUAAACCCCACCAUGACCUUCGCCGAGUACAUUGAGGCCGACUGCAGUGUUGCUAUCUGCGACGAGGUGUCGCGGUAUGACGCCAUCGAGGAGGCAUUGCCUCGUGCCGACACCAUUGUGACAUCGAACAAGGAUGACAAUGUCACAGAUGUUGCCAUACCUGAGCCUUCCACACUUGCUGAUGUGCUAGGACACAUAGACAGUAUUCGUAACUUCAUCUGUUCACCCGAUACCGCAGAAAACCUCCUUUUGAAUGUUGCCUAACUCGAGCGAAAGCUCUUGCAUCUUGGGUAGGACAAGGUGCAAAAGAAACUGACCAUUAUUAUUUUUUUUUUUAAGUUUGCACCGGCUGGCGGGAGUCGUGAAAGUGGAUUGUGGUGCAAGGCUUGUUCAAUGAAGCAUGAUUGGCAUCCAUACUGCAGUAUUCUUUUUGCAUUUACUUUUUUGGUGAUUUGGGUUUCCAAGCCCCGCAGAGUAUUAGUUUGUAGAUUAAAUUGAAGUUUCUCGUAAA